UGUGUUCGGCGAACGUAGGCGACGCCAUCGUUCGUGCUGCUCUGACGAAGGCGGCCUCGAUUGCGUUUCUUUCACGGCUUUUCUCGCCACCGUCUGCAAGCUUGAAGCAGAGUUGCACCCGUAAUCAGGGACGCGGUUCGACCGCGCACCGAGACUUGGCACCAUGAGUUACGGCCGGGCCCCACCGACGAUCGACGGGAUGUCCUCCCUGAAGGUCGACAACCUGACGUACCGCACCACGCCGGAGGACCUCAAGCGCGUGUUCGAGAGGUACGGCGACGUCGGGGACGUCUACAUCCCGCGUCACCCCUACACCAGGGAGAGCCGCGGGUUCGCAUUCGUUCGUUUCUACGACAAGCGCGACUGCGAGGACGCCAUGGACGCGCUUGACGGCUACAUCAUGGACGGCCGGGAGCUGCGGGUCCAAAUGGCGCGCUACGGUAGGCCUACCGACCCGUAUCGCCAGUCGUCCUCGUCUCGCUACGGCACGUCGAGUCGCCGGUCCCGCUCACGAUCGCGGAGCCGCGGCCGCCGAUCUAGGAGCCGCAGGCGGUCACGGUCUAGGUCGCGCCGCCGUUCCCGGAGCCGUUCCCGGUCACGCCGACGCCGUUCAAGGUCCCGCUCCAAGAGAUCCCGGAGCCGAUCCAGGGAUCGCCGGCGAUCCAGAAGUAGGUCCAGGAAGAGCCGUAGCAGAAGUCGACGAAAGAGCCGCAGUCGUAGUAGGCGCAAGAGCCGCAGCAAGUCUAGGGACCGUAGCGUCUCCCGACGUCGUGAGGCAAAGAGGAGUCGAUCAAAAUCGAGGGGCCGCAGCCGCUCAAAGUCGCGCGGUCGUAGUGUGUCAAAGCAUCGUAGUCGCUCAAAGUCCAAGGACCGCAGUCGAAGCCGACACCGCAGCCGCUCAAAGACCAAGGAGCGAAGCCUGAGCAAGCACCGCAGCCGCUCAAAGUCCAAGGAGCACAGUAGAAGCAAGAGACGUAGCCAGUCCAAGUCAAAGGAGCGGAGCCGAAGCAAGCAUCGAAGCCGAUCGGAGUCCAAGGAAAGGAGCCGGAGCAAGUCUCACAGAAGCCGGAGCCGAAGCCGCAAGGAGAGCGAGCCGCGGGAUCAGAGCCACAGUCCGUCAGUGAACGGAGACUCCCGCAUGCGGAGUGCAUCGCGCAGCCCACGAGAGAAGGAGGCCCGAGAGGACUCGCGUUCACGGUCACGCAGUCCAAGGCAGAGUGGCAGCCCCGCACCGGGAGAGUCCGAUGGGGCAGCCAGGGAGAAGUCCAGAAGCAGGGACCGGUCACGGUCCAAAUCGCAGGACUCCAACUGAGGCACGUGAGAGUCCUCGCAGUCUGUUGAGGGUAUUGCACCCAAGCCAGGGUGUUCAUUGGAACAUUGUUUAUUCUUUCAUUUCAUGUGUUGUGUGCACCUUUUGUAAAAAGAUGUACUUGUUCCAGCAACUUUCUCUGGAUGAGAAUUUCUAUCACCCUUUAGCGGUAGUAGACGUAAAUCCAUGCAGUUUUCUGUAGCUUUGUGGAAGGCUUGAUUGGCAGUUUCCAGUCGAUGUAAGAUUGGUCUUUUCACACCUAAUGUGCAGGUGGCUUCUCAUUUUAGUGUUAUGCAUUGGCUGUGCAGGACUGAGCCGAAAAACUAACACCCGAGAGAUUUAUGUCAUCUUUGCUUUGUCACAUAACACUGUAAAUGAAACUUCUUUUUAAUUACCAUUGUUUUCUGAUUAAAACCUGCUUGUGUGUUUCACAUUAUUGCUUUAAUCAUUUUUAAAUAUGGCAUGGAUAUAUACCUCUUUUCAGCAGUGUGAGGUUCAGCACUGUUACUGCACUUUUUUCCUUCUGCAUUGUAUAGUUGGUACUACAGAGUGUUCAUUACGUCUGGGCUCAAGCACAGCCCAGCAUUUCACCCGUCACAACAUUUUUGACCUGUUGCAGUUUCAGAAGGAACUGUAUGGUGCUAAGGUGUUUGUCACAGUUGCGUUGCCUCUACCUCUCAUUCUGUGUUGUGUGGCUGGCAGUGUUUAACGCUGAAAUGUAGUGGCACGUGUGUCGUGUUCAUCUUUGACUGUCAUAAACUUGACGAGGGCUAAUGAGGCACAAAAUGCCACAAUGGCUUAUGGUCCCCUUUCACAUUGUAGUGUUCAUGCAGCCUGAUCUUGGAAGUUGGUUGUGUAAAGGGCGUCAUUGUUAAGAGAGCCAUGUAUAAAUAGUUCUUCAGGCUUAAAUGUUGCUUCUUUUAUGUGGCCUUUUCAGACGGAAAUUGGAUGUUGUAGUUUUUUUUUCUUUUCCAUGGCAGGAUGCCGUACUUGCCUGUUUAAUCUGUAAUGAAUGUUUAGUGCACAUUGUCUGCAGCAGUUCUAGACAAAUGCUGCUUUUCCGGCUUCAGAAACAGAGGCAUAGUCUCUCAUCGCAGAGGUAGACAGCUCCCCAAUGUACUGUCUGCAACAGCUAUUACGCUCUUCUAGGACUGUGCCACCAUUCCUCAUGCUGGAAAGAAAAUUGCAUUUCCAACCUUCUAUAACUAGAUUCUACAUCCACAGACAAGCAGGAUAUGGUGUUGAAAACUAGCCGCAACAUACAGGAAGCGGCAGAGCACUUUAGCCGGAGGAUCCAUUUAUGCAGGGCUCUCUGUCGAUUCGACAUUAUAUAAGUGCACAAAUGCAGUUGAUGUAUCGCUCCUUUCAGCCGAUGUAAGUAAAUGUAGCCUGCGGUGAUGCAGGCCCACUGCCCUGUAUGAAAUAGUGCAUUGGGUUGUUCGGGACGUGCUUUCCCCCACUGGGGCAAAGGAGCGCCUCUUGGCUGACUCGUGUUGUGGUUGUGCCCCCUGUCAUGCCUGCAGGCGCUGUGAGCUGCAGGAGCUGUGAGGGUGUUGGUAAGGCGGUGCUUGAUCGUACGCUGAGUUGCUGCUGCUGCCGUGGCUGGUUGCAGCCUGUGCCGAGUUCGGGCGGAGAUGUGCUGUUGGGCUACACGUCGUGUUUGCGAUCCUCCUUUUCUUUUUCUUUCCUCCUCCACCUCCUUCGUUCUCCUGCAGACCCCUGCCCUGUUCUCUCAGACCUUGACAAAACGCUGGUUUCUGUGGCUUGUUUUGACAGCGGCUCGUGGCCAUGGCAAGAAUGUGCAGACUUAAGGAACUCUGGACAAGUAGUAGCAUAGUCUAGUUUUGCAUAGCUUGCAUACAAAAUUGGGCUGCUGCCUUGGAAUAGAUGAGUACGUCUGAGGUUACGGUGCACUGAAGUGCAAGUUGUAUGUGACGUAUAGUAGCAGGGCAAAAAGCUGUUUGGCCAUUGGAAGCAGGUUAUUGUUAGUAAGAUGAGCUAAUUUUGUGUUCAUACUUUUAAAUGACAGUGGAAGUCUGGUCUGAUUUAGGGCAAGCAUAGGAUAGUAUAGACUUGCAUUAUUGGAGCCUACUCAGCAUCUUGGAUAAAAUACUGGCACAAACGGCAAGAAACGACAGGUUAUUGGAAGAGCUGGUUUACCUUAAAAGUAAUGUAGGUCAGCUUAUUAGGCAUAUAAUAAUGACAUUUUUACGCUGCUAGUUAUAACAAACGAGGUUACUUGUAGCCUUCCUGGCUUUCGCCACUGAAACUUCAGCGAAGUGUUCCAGUUUGCGGCCGGCAGAAGGCGGCACUUGCAGACUGCUGGUGUGGACGGAGCGUCCCGCGGUUGCUGUCCAGCCAGCGCCGGGCUUGCCGUGGUGCGGUGCGGGAGCGUUGGUUGGCUCGUGCCUGCUGUUGGAGUUGCGGCGGCGGUUGAGCGUGCCUGCUGCGCAGUUGUCCGUGCCCGCGGUGGGGGACGCAGGCCCGGUUUUUGGUUUGUUUCAUUCCACACGUUUCUCCAGUGCAGUUCAAAGUAUGCAACUUUUUUUUUUUUUUCUUCAGAGCAUACACGGGCAGUAUGUGCUGUCUUGCACGCUGCUGGCGAUGUAUCGCGACUAGCAUUGCACGAGGCAUGUGCAGUAGUGCCUGUAGUUUGUGACUGCGGUUCUAGGUAUCCAAUAAAGCUGUAGAAAAAGCG